UGGGCCAUUACUGACANUGAGGAGCGAAAGCGUGGGGAGCGAACAGGAUUAGAUACCCUGGUAGUCCACGCCGUAAACGGUGGGCACUAGUUGUGGGGNNCUUCCACGGUCUCUGCGACGCAGCUAACGCAUUAAGUGCCCCGCCUGGGGAGUACGAUCGCAAGAUUAAAACUCAAAGGAAUUGACGGGGCCCCGCACAAGCAGCGGAGCAUGCGGCUUAAUUCGACGCAACGCGAAGAACCUUACCAAGGCUUGACAUAUACAGGAAUAUGGCAGAGAUGUCAUAGCCGCAAGGUCUGUAUACAGGUGGUGCAUGGUUGUCGUCAGCUCGUGUCGUGAGAUGUUGGGUUAAGUCCCGCAACGAGCGCAACCCUCGUUCUGUGUUGCCAGCAUUUAGUUGGGGACUCACAGGAGACUGCCGGGGUUAACUCGGAGGAAGGUGGGGAUGACGUCAAAUCAUCAUGCCCCUUAUGUCUUGGGCUGCACGCAUGCUACAAUGGCUGGUACAAACGGCUGCAAUACCGCAAGGUGGAGCGAAUCCGAGAAAGCCAGUCUCAGUUCGGAUUGGGGUCUGCAACUCGACCCCAUGAAGUCGGAGUUGCUAGUAAUCGUAGAUCAGCAACGCUACGGUGAAUACGUUCCCGGGGCUUGUACACACCGCCCGUCACGUCACGAAAGUCGGUAACACCCGAAGUCAGUGGCCCAACCGCAAGGAGGGAGCUGCCGAAGGUGGGAUCGGUGAUUGGGACGAAGUCG
rnacentral:rRNA from 1 species